UUACAUAUAGGGCAGUGCAUAUUUAAGCUACUUCGUCUUCCAAACGAAAGGUCGCUGGUUCGAAUCCAGCUUCUUAAA
rnacentral:tRNA from 1 species